AAGACGGUCUUGCUGUCACUUAUAGAUGGAUCCGCGCUGCAUUAGCUAGUUGGUAAGGUAACGGCUUACCAAGGCAACGAUGCAUAGCCGACCUGAGAGGGUGAUCGGCCACACUGGAACUGAGACACGGUCCAGACUCCUACGGGAGGCAGCAGUAGGGAAUCUUCCGCAAUGGGCGAAAGCCUGACGGAGCAACGCCGCGUGAGUGAUGAAGGUCUUCGGAUCGUAAAACUCUGUUAUUAGGGAAGAACAUAUGUGUAAGUAACUGUGCACAUCUUGACGGUACCUAAUCAGAAAGCCACGGCUAACUACGUGCCAGCAGCCGCGGUAAUACGUAGGUGGCAAGCGUUAUCCGGAAUUAUUGGGCGUAAAGCGCGCGUAGGCGGUUUUUUAAGUCUGAUGUGAAAGCCCACGGCUCAACCGUGGAGGGUCAUUGGAAACUGGAAAACUUGAGUGCAGAAGAGGAAAGUGGAAUUCCAUGUGUAGCGGUGAAAUGCGCAGAGAUAUGGAGGAACACCAGUGGCGAAGGCGACUUUCUGGUCUGUAACUGACGCUGAUGUGCGAAAGCGUGGGGAUCAAACAGGAUUAGAUACCCUGGUAGUCCACGCCGUAAACGAUGAGUGCUAAGUGUUAGGGGGUUUCCGCCCCUUAGUGCUGCAGCUAACGCAUUAAGCACUCCGCCUGGGGAGUACGACCGCAAGGUUGAAACUCAAAGGAAUUGACGGGGACCCGCACAAGCGGUGGAGCAUGUGGUUUAAUUCGAAGCAACGCGAAGAACCUUACCAAAUCUUGACAUCCUUUGACAACUCUAGAGAUAGAGCCUUCCCCUUCGGGGGACAAAGUGACAGGUGGUGCAUGGUUGUCGUCAGCUCGUGUCGUGAGAUGUUGGGUUAAGUCCCGCAACGAGCGCAACCCUUAAGCUUAGUUGCCAUCAUUAAGUUGGGCACUCUAAGUUGACUGCCGGUGACAAACCGGAGGAAGGUGGGGAUGACGUCAAAUCAUCAUGCCCCUUAUGAUUUGGGCUACACACGUGCUACAAUGGACAAUACAAAGGGCAGCGAAACCGCGAGGUCAAGCAAAUCCCAUAAAGUUGUUCUCAGUUCGGAUUGUAGUCUGCAACUCGACUACAUGAAGCUGGAAUCGCUAGUAAUCGUAGAUCAGCAUGCUACGGUGAAUACGUUCCCGGGUCUUGUACACACCGCCCGUCACACCACGAGAGUUUGUAACACCCGAAGCCGGUGGAGUAACCUUUUAGGAGCUAGCCGUCGAAGGUGGGACAAAUGAUUGGGGUGAAGUCGUAACAAGGUAGCCGUAUCGGAAGGUGCGGC
rnacentral:rRNA from 1 species